UGCCACCCCACACCAUUAUUGACCCACUGCCAAACCGGUUAUGCUGGAGGAUGUUGCAGGCAGCAGAACGUUCUCCACGGCGUCUCCAGACUGUCACGUCUGUCACGUGCUCAGUGUGAACCUGCUUUCAUCUGUGAAGAGCACGGGGCACCAGUGGCGAAUUUGCCAAUCUUGGUGUUCUUUGGCAAAUGCCAAACGUCCUGCACGGUGUUGGGCUGUAAGCACAACCCCCACCUGUGGAUGUCGGGCCCUCAUACCACCCUCAUGGAGUCUGUUUCUGACCGUUUGAGCAGACACAUG